UACGUAGGGUGCGAGCGUUAAUCGGAAUUACUGGGCGUAAAGCGUGCGCAGGCGGUCUGUUAAGACCGAUGUGAAAUCCCCGGGCUUAACCUGGGAACUGCAUUGGUGACUGGCAGGCUUUGAGUGUGGCAGAGGGAGGUAGAAUUCCACGUGUAGCAGUGAAAUGCGUAGAGAUGUGGAGGAAUCCGAUGGCGAAGGCAGCCUCCUGGGCCAACACUGACGCUCAUGCACGAAAGCGUGGGGAGCAAACAG
rnacentral:rRNA from 1 species